rnacentral:rRNA from 1 species
CACGUAGGGCGCAAGCGUUGUCCGGAAUUAUUGGGCGUAAAGAGCUCGUAGGCGGUCUGUUACGUCUGCUGUGAAAACCCGGGGCUUAACCCUGGGCUUGCAGUGGAUACGGGCAGACUAGAGGCAGGUAGGGGAGAUCGGAAUUCCUGGUGUAGCGGUGAAAUGCGCAGAUAUCAGGAGGAACACCGGUGGCGAAGGCGGAUCUCUGGGCCAUUACUGACGCUGAGGAGCGAAAGCGUGGGGAGCGAACAGG